GAUGAACGCUGGCGGCGUGCUUAACACAUGCAAGUCGAACGGAAAGGCCCAAGCUUGCUUGGGUACUCGAGUGGCGAACGGGGGAGUAACACGUGGGUGAUCUGCCCUGCACUUCGGGAUAAGCCUGGGAAACUGGGUCUAAUACCGGAUAGGACCACUCCUUGGAUGGUGUGGAGGAAAGCUUUUUAGGUGUGGGAUGAGCUCGCGGCGUAUCAGCUUGUUGGUGGGGUAAUGGCCUACGAAGGCGUCGGCGGGUAGCCGGCCUGUGAGGGUGUACCGCCACACUGGGACUGAGGGACGGCCCAGACGCCUACUGGUGGCAGCAGUGGGGAAUAUUGCACAAUGGGCGCCAGCCUGAUGCAGCGGCGCCGCGUGGGGUAUGACGGCCUUCUGGUUGUAAACUCCUUUCGCUAGGGACGAAGCGUUUUGUGACGGUACCUGGAGAAGAAGCACCGGCUAACUACGUG
rnacentral:rRNA from 1 species